rnacentral:misc_RNA from 1 species
GAUGAAGAACGUAGCGAAAUGCGAUAAGUAAUGUGAAUUGCAGAAUUCAGUGAAUCAUCGAAUCUUUGAACGCACCUUGCGCCCUUUGGCCAUUCCGAAGGGCAUGUCUGUUUGAGUAUCAUGAACACCUCAACUCUUUAUGGUUUUCCAUGAUGAGCUUGGACUCUGGGGGUUUUGCUGGCUCACAGUCGGCUCCUCUAAAAUGAAUCAGCUUACCAGUGUUUGGUGGGUAUCAUGGGUGUGAUAACUAUCUACGCUUGUGGUUUUUCCACCAGGUAACCUUCAGCAGUGGAGGUUCGCUGGAGCUCAUAGAUGUCUCUCCUCAGUGAGGACAGCCCUUUGAAUGUUUGAUCUCAAAUCAGGUAGGACUACCCGCUGAACUUAAGCAUAUCAUAAGCGGAGGA